rnacentral:misc_RNA from 1 species
GAUGAAGAACGUAGCGAAAGGCGAUACGUAAUGUGAAUUCCAGAAUUCAGUGAAUCAUCGAAUCUUUGAACGCAUAUUGCGCUCUUUGGUAUUCCGAAGAGCAUGCUUGUUUGAGUAUCAGUAAUCACCUCAAAGUCUUUUUUUCUUGAAGAAAAAGACCUUGGACUUGAGCAAUCCCAACUCUUCUUUCAGAAGAGGCGGGUUGCUUGAAAUGCAGGUGCAGCUGGACAUUCUCCUGAGCUAAAAGCAUAUUCAUUUAGUCCCGUCAAACGGAUUAUUACUUUUGCUGCAGCUAACAUAAAGGGAGUUUGACCAUUUUGGCUGACUGAUGCAGGAAUUUCACAAGAGUCUUCAAAACGCUCUUGUUAAACUCGAUCUCAAAUCAAGUAAGACUACCCGCUGAACUUAAGCAUAUCAAUAAGCGGAGGA